GACGUAGGGCGCGAGCGUUGUCCGGAUUUAUUGGGCGUAAAGAGCUCGUAGGCGGCUUGUUGCGUCGACUGUGAAACCUGCGGCUCAACCGUGUGGUCUGCAGUCGAUACGGGCAGGCUGGAGUUCGGUAGGGGAGACUGGAAUUCCUGGUGUAGCGGUGAAAUGCGCAGAUAUCAGGAGGACACCGGUGGCGAAGGCGGGUC
rnacentral:rRNA from 1 species